GACGAACGCUGGCGGCGUGCUUAACACAUGCAAGUCGAGCGGUAAGGCACCUUCGGGUGUACACGAGCGGCGAACGGGUGAGUAACACGUGAGUAACCUGCCCUUCUCAUCGGAAUAAGCGUUGGAAACGACGUCUAAUGCCGAAUACGACUUCGGACCGCAUGGUCUGAAGUGGAAAGCUCCGGCGGAGAAGGAUGGACUCGCGGCCUAUCAGCUAGUUGGGGAGGUAACGGCUCACCAAGGCGACGACGGGUAGCCGGCCUGAGAGGGUGACCGGCCACACUGGGACUGAGACACGGCCCAGACUCCUACGGGAGGCAGCAGUGGGGAAUAUUGGACAAUGGGCGCAAGCCUGAUCCAGCAACGCCGCGUGAGGGAUGACGGCCUUCGGGUUGUAAACCUCUUUCAGCAGGGACGAAGCGAAAGUGACGGUACCUGCAGAAGAAGGACCGGCCAACUACGUGCCAGCCGCCGCAGUAAGAC
rnacentral:rRNA from 1 species